rnacentral:ncRNA from 2 species
AUGACGUGUGCGGGAGAGCUCCGGGCCCAGGGCCCGGGCACCGAAGGAGCAAGCCUCCCCGCCAAUCUCUCAGGUCCGCGUACCGCUCGCGUCCG